GGGGCGGAACUCCUCGCGCGCGCGCUGGUCGAAGUCCUGUCCGUGGAUGAUCCGCAUCUGCUUCAGGAAGGUAGACUUGCCGCUCUCGCCCGCGCCCAGCAGCAGGAUCUUCACCAGCCGCUUCACGUGGUGCGCCAUAACUGCUGUCACCUGCACUCGCCCUGCCUGUUGCGAGGCCACUGGCUAGAAAAUUAUUUGCACAGCCGGCGGGAGCCAGGAAGAUUGUUGAUGCCUCUUUAAAGGUGACUCUGUUGACACUAUACUCCCAGAUCCUCACCUAUAAUGACACUCACCCUCCCCACCUCAGCUUUUUAUGGCAUUUUUUGACCCUCAUGGACAGUAGUUUGAGGCAGAAGGACUGGAGUCGUUCAUCUGAUAUGUGACCGUUAAUGUCUCGCACAUGUGCAUUCCCACUCGAGCUGCGCUAUGAUUUAGCCUCUGAAGAAGAUCCACAAGCUGUCGAUGACCAGCUGAGACCUCAGCUCAUUUGAAGUAAAAAGCCUGUACUCUUUGGAAGGCACACACCAGAACUCUAUAAAUACUUUCAUCUUGCCUGCUGCAUCAGAACUGCUGCUGGGAAAUCUGUUGGUGUAAUCCUAUGCACAAGGCUGAGUCUGUACACUUGAUAUUCUUUCUGAGACACUGAAAAUAUCCUGUUCACUCCAUCUCCUUUUUUUUCCCAUACCAAUAUCACUUUAAAAGUCAGAGAUACUUUUUAUGUUUUAUUGUCCUUAAAUGUCCCUUGCCAGAAAAAAAAGCAAAGAUUUUUAAUUAACCUAAAUUUUGUUUCUCCAGGGAUGUUCAAGUUGGCAUUCUGAAUUUAUUCUUGCAUGUCAAAAUACCCUGCUUCCAAUGUGGUGGCAGCAGUUUUCUUUCCCUAAAAUGCUGGAUCAACAGACCUGGACGGGCUGCUCCUAGCUAUCAUGCUCUUACGGGGCUGGCUCUGGCUAUAAGGUGGCAUUGCAUGUCAUGGCCUGCAGAGCUGGUCUUUGCUUCAUUCUAAAGUGCCAGGAAGCAUCAGCUGGCUGAGGCUACCAUCAGACAGUAAGGGCUCACCCGGGGGUUCUGAGAAACAAUCCAGUAGCCCAUAUGGCCUUUGAUGGAUCCAGACAGGCUGUGGCAGACUGAAUCCCAGAGCCAAUAAUGUCAUCAACUUGUCUUUCUCCACAUUCCUGUGUCAGCUGCUAAGAAGAAGAAAGGCAAGCUCAGGGAAGAAUUCAGGGAAAGGCUGCACCUCCUGAGUCAGAAUGACACCCUCGAGGAUUUAGAAGAUUCUCCUUGCUAUGCUGGACUCCAGCAGGGAGACGAGAGGCAGAAAGAAAAGCCAGAAGUGGCUUGAUGUGUGCUUGGCAAUUUUGCUAUUAUGAUUGCUUGAACUGUCACAGGAAAAGUUCCCUGAAGUAGCAAGCUUUAUUUAAAGCUGCUGGUGCAAACCCCCAGCAGGAUCUGUUUCUGGUUACCUGAUAAUAACAAUGAGAAAAACAACACCUACCUGCGAGAGGCUGUCCCAACACUCAGCUCUGAAGAAGGGCAGGAUUUAUUAGUAUCCACAGUAGCCUCAGGAGUCACUUUGUCAACCAGAAAGGAGCCAAGCCAGACCGCAAAGAUUCCCAAGAUCUCAGGCUCUUGAGAUGGAUCCCAGUGGAGACCUUUAUGAACAUCCAGCUGAAACAUUCCACUGGAGUCAUUCACAGGCCAGUCCUUGCUUGUGGACAGUUUGUGCCCAACCCCCACACCAUAGGAGUCCACUGAGGCCCUGGUAGUUGCUGGGUUCCCAAGACCACCCCAGGUUGAAAGCCAAGGGGCACUUUAUGAAAAACCAGCGGCAUAACAUCUAAUGUUCUGGGCUAAUUCUCAGUUGUCCAGUCACCUUUCAACUGCAGAUACUCAGUAGAAGCUCAUUUUGUCAGAUGUGAGCCAGGAUCUGAAAAGAACACCCAAGAGAGACAGGCAGGAGCAUCAAAUCACAGCUCUUCCACCCAUGUAUCUGUGGAUUUCCUGUCACUGGCCACCUACAUUCUCUGGGCUUUAUUUUCUUUAUCCAAAAACGAAAACAAAUAAAAUGGAACUAAUAAUA